rnacentral:rRNA from 1 species
AUUGAACGCUGGCGGCAGGCUUAACACAUGCAAGUCGAGCGGGGGAAGGUAGCUUGCUACCGGACCUAGCGGCGGACGGGUGAGUAAUGCUUAGGAAUCUGCCUAUUAGUGGGGGACAACAUCCCGAAAGGGAUGCUAAUACCGCAUACGUCCUACGGGAGAAAGCAGGGGAUCUUUGGCCCUUGCGCUAAUAGAUGAGCCUAAGUCGGAUUAGCAAGUUGGGGGGUUAAAGGCCUACCAAGGCGACGUUCUGUAGCGGGUCUGAGAGGAUGAUCCGCCACACUGGGACUGAGACACGGCCCAGACUCCUACGGGAGGCAGCAGUGGGGAAUAUUGGACAAUGGGGGGAACCCUGAUCCAGCCAUGUCGCGUGUGUGAAGAAGGCCUUAUGGUUGUAAAGCACUUUAAGCGAGGAGGAGGCUACUUUAGUUAAUACCUAGAGAUAGUGGACGUUACUCGCAGAAUAAGCACCGGCUAAUUCUGUGCCAGCCGCCGCAGUAA